rnacentral:rRNA from 1 species
CAGCCGCCGCGGUAAUACGAAGGGGGCUAGCGUUGCUCGGAAUUACUGGGCGUAAAGGGCGCGUAGGCGGACAGCUAAGUUGGGGGUGAAAGCCCGGGGCUCAACCUCGGAAUUGCCUUCAAUACUGGCUGUCUUGAGUACGGGAGAGGUGAGUGGAACUCCGAGUGUAGAGGUGAAAUUCGUAGAUAUUCGGAAGAACACCAGUGGCGAAGGCGACUCACUGGCCCGUUACUGACGCUGAGGCGCGAAAGCGUGGGGAGCAAACAGGAUUAGAUACCCGGUAGUCCCUGUCUCUUAUACA